rnacentral:rRNA from 1 species
UACGUAGGUGGCAAGCGUUGUCCGGAUUUAUUGGGUUUAAAGGGUGCGUAGGCGGUUCCUUAAGUCAGUGGUGAAAUACUUCAGCUCAACUGGAGAGGUGCCAUUGAUACUGGGGAACUUGAGUACUGAUGAGGUAGGCGGAAUGGACAGUGUAGCGGUGAAAUGCUUAGAUAUCGUCCAGAACACCGAUAGCGAAGGCAGCUUACUAAAGAGUAACUGACGCUGAGGCACGAAAGUGUGGGGAUCAAACAGG